UACAGAGGGGGCCAGCGUUAUUCGGAAUUAUUGGGCGUAAAGGGCGCGUAGGCGGCCCUGCGUGUCUUCCGUGAAAUCCCUCGGCUUAACUGAGGACGUGCGGAAGAAACUGCAGGGCUCGAGUCCGGGAGAGGGGGGUGGAAUUCCCAGUGUAGCGGUGAAAUGCGUAGAUAUUGGGAGGAACACCGGUGGCGAAGGCGGCCCCCUGGACCGGUACUGACGCCUGAGGCGCGAAAGCGUGGGGAGCAAACGGG
rnacentral:rRNA from 1 species